rnacentral:tRNA from 1 species
GUCAGUGUGGCCGAGCGGUCUAAGGCGCCAGACUCAAGUGCAUAGCUUCCUGAGAAUUCUGGUCCUCGAAUGAGGGCGUGGGUUCGAAUCCCACCGCUGACA